AUCGCUUCUCGGCCUUUUGGCUAAGAUCAAUGAUAGUAUCUGUUCUUAUCAGCUUAAUAUCUGAUACGGCCCUCUGAUGGGUCUUGUGAUAUUAACCGUAUUUUUGUAAGGCGGCGCCGUUUGCGGGGCUUGCCCCUGCGGUGCCAUGGGUCGGCUCGGUAUUGCACUACAGCCGGGUACGGCCCUCCCCUU